UCGAAUGUUAUGCAGGCACGUGCACGUCAUAGAGCUAUGCACGCGUCACGUGACAUCG
rnacentral:pre_miRNA from 1 species